UGACCGUGCGAAGGUAGCAUAAUCAUUAGUCUUUUAAUUGAAGGCUUGUAUGAAUGGUUGGACGAGAAGUAAUCUGUCUCUAUUGAAAAAAUUGAAUUUAACUUUUGAGUGAGAAGGCUUAAAUGAUCUAGAGGGACGAUAAGACCCUAUAAAGUUUAACAUUAUAAUAAUAGAAAGUUGAUUGGGUUGGAGAACUUAUUAUUAUGGGUAGUGUUUUGUUGGGGCGACAAGAAUAUAAAUAAUUUAACUGUUCUUUUUUGUAUCAAAUAUAUUUGGGUUAAUGAUCUUUUUAAGAGUAUUAGAGUAAAUUACUUUAGGGAUAACAGCGUAAUUUUUUUUGAGAGUUCCUAUCGACAAAAGAGUUUGCGACCUCGAUGUUGAAUUAAAGAUUCUUUGUAAUGUAGAAGUUACACAAGAAGGUCUGUUCGACCUUUAAAUCUUUACAUGAUUUGAGUUCAGACCGGUGUGAGCCAGGUUGGUUUCUAUCUA
rnacentral:rRNA from 1 species